rnacentral:rRNA from 1 species
GGGUUGUGAGGUUAAGCGACUAAGCGUACACGGUGGAUGCCCUGGCAGUCAGAGGCGAUGAAGGACGUGCUAAUCUGCGAUAAGCGUCGGUAAGGUGAUAUGAACCGUUAUAACCGGCGAUUUCCGAAUGGGGAAACCCAGUGUGAUUCGUCACACUAUCGUUAACUGAAUACAUAGGUUAACGAAGCGAACCGGGGGAACUGAAACAUCUAAGUACCCCGAGGAAAAGAAAUCAACCGAGAUUCCCCCAGU